CCCGCCCGGCCGCCGAUCCACGCGAGCGUGGCCUCCCGCGCAGACUCCGCGCGGCGGGGAGGUGACAGGGGAGGGGUCGGCGUCGGGAGCGCGCUGCGCACGGGCGGGGCGGUGGGUCCCGCGGGUUGGGGCGGGCUCGCCUGCGGAGCGCAGUCUGGGGACCCGCCAGGCGCGGCGAGACGGCUGAGGGCCAGACCCGGGCGGGGCCGCGCCGUCCUCUGGGGGGGAAGCGGGGCGGGCGCGGGAGAGGCGCGGCGAGCCCAGGGCAGCUCCGAGGGCCCGGUGCCCGCCCUGCCGGACCCGGGCGAGGCAUCCGGGCCGAACAGGUGGCCCUGGAGGAUGCGCCCAGGGUGGAGCGGGAGGCGAGAGGGAGGAGCGGGGGGCGGGAGAAAGGAGCGGCCGAGGCCCGGCCUCCCCCAGGGGCCCAGGAGCCCCAAGGCCGGCCCGGCGGGGACCUCGUGUCCGGCUGGUGGCCCGGGGACGUCGCUUCAGUACCUGCGCCUUCCGAGCCCCGCCCUGCCUCGGAUGAGUCGCGGCCCGGGCCCUCAGGAUUGCGGCCCGCCGGACCUGGCCGAGGAAGGGCUCGCCCCUUCGUCCCAGAGCAGCCUGUGCCGGCGAGGUCCUUCCCUGAAGCCCACCUCCCUGAGCCAGCGGAGUGCUGCCCGAGGCUGCCCGGGCCCCAGGCAUGAGGAAGAGAAGCAUGACACGUUGGUAUCAUAAUGGGCUUGCUGCGUAAAGAUAGCAGCAUAAUACAUCUUGCCGGUGAUUCCAUGAAGGACUCCAGACUUCCGACUAUGGAACGCAAUUUUCUAUUUUAUAUCUUUAGGAGAAAAGGCUCAAAGAAUGAAAGAAGAAAACUUCACAAAUAAUAAGAAGGUGUGAAUGGGCUUCAGAGUGAGAGGCAACAGUAACUUUGCUGCUUGAGGACCCUCUCACCUCUGGAAAGUGUUGAGCUCUGAACGGUGUCAUGUGUCUCAGUAGCUUAGUCCUCCCUCAAAUAUUCAGAGUUUUUAAGGUGGUGGAGAUGGAAUCCAGGGCCUCACACAUGCUGGCCUGAAACAAAGGAUUCCCCUGCCUUACCCUGCAGAGUCCAGUGGGAUUCCUGGCCUGCACCACUGUGCCUGGCUCACAUAUUCAAACUGCUGAUUGCAGGUAUCAUGCUGAUUCUUGAAACCAUUGUAAACCCUGCCCUAACCGUGCCUAAAUGUAUGGACCUGACUUGGAGUUUAGAAAUACCACAAACAGCUAGCUCCAAGUCAUUAUUGCAUUCAUAAAGACCAGCACUAGGAUUCUUACCUCAGUGCACUGGCUCUUAACCACCACGCCCGCCGUGUGUCUGCCUCUUCACUGGUGUUUAGGAGCUCAGAGGUGCAGAUCGAGUCACUCAGCUUUCCUAAGCCUCAGCUUCCAAUUUUUAUCAGUGAGCAUAGUGCCGUGGGAAUUAAAGGACAUAGCUAGCUUCUUAGGUCAUCUGUAAUCAUGCCUAGGUCAGGGAUGCUACGGGACACCAGGUACUGUAAAACAUACCGCCUUGCAAGGCAAAAGGCUUCUCUGAUCUGUAGAUGAGUUGAAACCCACUUAGAGCAGGUCAUUGUAGAUAAGGCUGAAUAAUACUUGACCUGUGAGGACAGCUGAUUGGUAAGUAGCAUACAUUAGUGGGUCUUCUGAUGCCCAUAUGUUCUAAGGUGGUAACACCAGUUUCCCUAUUUUACAAUUUGUCUACUUGUGUAUGCUUUGAAAAGCCCAUGAUACAUUAAUACACCAGUGAUCAGCAAAAGACAAGCACCAGGCCCUUUGCUUCCAAGGAACCCGGAGCCUGGACUGGAACCCAGAGACCUGGGCAGAGUUUGAAUUGACAGCCCGGACUCCUGAUGAGCAGUAAUCCCCCUGCUUCUGUUUCCCCGUGGCCUCCAUGCCGUGCUUUGGAAGGAGGAGAAGUCAAGCCAGAGAGACGCGACAGUGGAGAGCAAACCCUGGUGCAUUCAUGUCUCUGCCUGGCCCCUCUUCCUGUCAUUUACUUGUCUCUCAAGGCGUUUUUGUCUGUCUCCCUGCUAGAAUCUAAGUUCCAGGAGGCCAGGGAUGUUUGAUUGUCCUGUGCCUCGCUGUGUUCCCAAACCCCGGGCAGUGACUGGCACACACCUAUCGCUCAACAAAUGCUCAAAGGGGAAAAAAUGUGGGGAUAAUUGAUUUAGAAAAACGUGGGUAAUAAAGAAAAUGUUGUUGGAGAACAAGCCAUUUCAAGUCUUGAUUUACACAGGUAAAUUUAACUGGAAAAAGUUACUAAAAUAUUUCAUAGGGUUUUUCCCCAAAUUAUUAUUUUUUAUUGAUAUAUAUAGUCCAUCUACCAUUAAAAUUAACCCAUUUAAAGCAUAUGUUCCUAUGGUUUUUGGUAUUAUAGAAAGAUUUUCACUAUCUUUUUCAAAGUAUCAACUAUUACAUAUAUAAACUCAGUAUCUGAUGAGACAUGAGAACUGGCCACACAGACAUGUGAAAAAUAUCAGUUCCACCAAACGUCAUUAUUAGACAGUCUUUAGUGACUCUGACACUGAAGUCGUGAAUUGCUAAUAACUAGGGUUUUUCCGUAUGGAAAUCCACAUAAUCCUCUUUAAGUAAUUAAUCACUGUCAAUGCUUAUACUUAAACUUGUAUGAAAAAAUGAUACUCAGAUUGGUUCUGUAUGAUAAAUGCAUAUGAAAACAAUAAAAUUCUAAUUCCGAUUGGCACAUGUACCUAUUUCUUUAUUUGUAUCAUUUACGUGUAUAUGUGGAAUCUGUUUUAUGUUGUCAUCUUUUCCUUGCAUGAAGGGAUGAGUGUUUAUGAUACUGAAGUAUGUGAGGCUGUAAAUGGCAUUUACAUUCAAUAACUACAUCGAUGCUGCUUCUGCAUUUAAUCGCUGGCUGGAGAUAUUUAUUGCUUGGUGUACUAUUCUCCCAUAAACAGCACUACCUCAAUAGGACACUCUCUUACUACUGAUUAUUUUCCCCUUUCCGUGGAAAUGAAAAAAAAAAAAACAACCAUUUUAUAAAAAUAAAACAUUCCCA
rnacentral:lncRNA from 1 species